AUCUCUGACUGAAUCACUCGUAAAAGGGUCUCAUCAGAGCUGGGCUUCUUCGAAGCAGAAGAGUAGUGAAGGUUGGGAACCAAAAGAGGGCUCAGAAAUGAGAUCCUG